UACGAAGGGUGCUAGCGUUGUUCGGAAUUACUGGGCGUAAAGAGCGCGUAGGCGGUUAUACAAGUCAGGGGUGAAAUCCCAGAGCUUAACUCUGGAACUGCCUUUGAAACUGUAUAGCUGGAGUGUGUGAGGGGAUAGCGGAAUUCUUAAUGUAGAGGUGAAAUUCGUAGAUAUCGGGAGGAACACCAGUGGCGAAGGCGGCUCACUGGCCCGUUACCGACGCUCAGGCGCGACAGCGUGGGGAGCAAACAGG
rnacentral:rRNA from 1 species